UACAGAGGGGGCAAGCGUUAUUCGGAAUUACUGGGCGUAAAGGGCGCGUAGGCGGCCUGUUAAGUCGGACGUGAAAUCCCUCGGCUCAACCGGGGAACUGCGUCCGAUACUGGCGGGCUUGAAUUCGGGAGAGGGAUGUGGAAUUCCAGGUGUAGCGGUGAAAUGCGUAGAUAUCUGGAGGAACACCGGUGGCGAAGGCGGCAUCCUGGACCGACAUUGACGCUGAGGCGCGAAAGCCAGGGGAGCAAACGGG
rnacentral:rRNA from 1 species